UGGUUCCAGCAUCGAUGAAGAACGCAGCGAAAUGCGAUAAGUAAUGUGAAUUGCAGAAUUCAGUGAAUCAUCGAGUCUUUGAACGCACAUUGCGCCCCCUGGUAUUCCGGGGGGCAUGCCUGUCCGAGCGUCAUUACCACACUCAAGCUAUGCUUGGUCGUGGGCAUCCGUCUCCCCGAGACGUGCCCGAAAGCUAGCGGCUACGUGUCCCCGUCUCCAAGCGCAUUAAGUGAAAACUCGCUUCGUGGGCCCGGGGUGCGCGUGUGCCGGCUAACGCCAACUUCCGUCAAUCGACCUCGGAUCAGGUAGGAAUACCCGCUGA
rnacentral:misc_RNA from 1 species